UUUUAUUUGAGAGUUUGAUCCUGGCUCAGGAUGAACGCUGGCGGCGUGCCUAACACAUGCAAGUUGAGCGAUUUACUUCGGUAAAGAGCGGCGGACGGGUGAGUAACGCGUGGGUAACCUACCCUGUACACACGGAUAACAUACCGAAAGGUAUGCUAAUACGGGAUAAUAUAUUUGAGAGGCAUCUCUUGAAUAUCAAAGGUGAGCCAGUACAGGAUGGACCCGCGUCUGAUUAGCUAGUUGGUAAGGUAACGGCUUACCAAGGCGACGAUCAGUA
rnacentral:rRNA from 1 species